GAUGAACGCUGGCGGCGUGCCUAAUACAUGCAAGUCGAGCGAACAGACGAGAGUGCUUGCACUCUCUGAUGUUAGCGGCGGACGUGUGACUUACAUGUGCGUCCCCUACCUAUAAGACUGCUAUCACUUCGGGAAACCGGUGCUAAUACCGGAUAAUAUUUACCUUCGCAUGUAGCAAUAGUGACAGACGGUUGUGCUGUCACUUCUAGUUGGACCCGCGGUGUUUUAGCUAGUUGGUGAGGUAACGGCUCACCAAGGCAACGAUACAUAGCCGACCUGAGAGGGGGAUCGGCGACAGUGGGACUGAGACACGGCCCAGACUCCUACGGGAGGCAGCAGUAGGGAAUCGGCCGCAAUGGACGAAAGUCUGACGGAGCAAUGCCGCGUGAGUGAAGAAGGUUUUCGGAUCGGAAAACGCUGUUGUAAGGGAAGAACAAUUACGUUAGUAACUGAGCUUAGCUUGACGGUACCGUAUCAGAAAGCAACGGCUAACUACGUG
rnacentral:rRNA from 1 species